GAUCCUUGUUGCCAGCUCCUGCUCUGCUAUUCAACCUGCUGAUGGAAUUAUAAUAACCACACAUGAACAGAAAUGUGUGAAUGCCAAAGUGUGCUGUGCCUGCUGUCUGAGCACAAGAGCGUCCUGACUGCCCCUGUGUCUGCUGUCCAACCUGCGUGUGAAUGCAGUUCUCUGAGACUGCAAGUCCAUUGGAAGUAGUUGGGGAGGCACCAAUGAAAGCUGAUUUCAAACCCAGGUGGCCGGCUCUCUUCCAUGUGCAUGAGGUGUGUGUGGAAUUCAAGAGAAUCACAACGAUCCAUUUAGAGUCAAAGUUCUUCUCUGAGCUGGAUGCUCACUCAGACCCAAUCCAGGUGUUUGCCAAGAAAGGCGGAGUUCAGGGAGACGGAUCAGAAGCAUCAUGGGACCCAUGACUGAGCCGGUGGAUGAGCAGGGCCUGUCUGGCCUCCCUCUCUCUCCGAGAGGGCGAGCGAGGGGGACACUGACCGGCACAGCUGGAGAGAGAGAGAGAGAUGUAAGCUCUGAUGAUCAC